UUCAACCUAGACCUACUUUAAUGACUAAAAAAAAGUCUCUUUCACACACUGACAUUUAACAAUGACUUCAAUAAUUCCCCAAAAAAUACUUAUUAGUUCCUUGCAAUGUCUUUAUACAGUAGGACGGAAGCGGAAGGCCCUGCAGGUGUCAAAAGGUGGACCAUCUGCAAAGAUCGCAAUUUUCCACCAGUCACCACUGGUUGGUGGAGCCUCCGCCCCAGCCCCAACCCCAUCUAGCCCUGCUGCUCCAUCCACCCUUCCUGCCCCAUCCGGCCCUGCUGCUCCACCAUCCCCUACUGCCCCAUCCCAGCCGGCAUUUCAGAAUGUCCACAGCCUUUUGAGGACAUGCUCAGGGCAUCGGAGCAAAAGGUGAAGUGCACAGCUAGGCAUAGGUUUCUUCAAGACAGGUUUAUAUUUUUAGUGGUAGUGUGGUAGUAACAGUGCUGAGACCAUUUGUGAUGGGAUCUGGGAAAACCAGUCACAUGGUGAAAUUUGACCUUUUGGAAGCUGACUUCAAGCUUGUUUCAAAUAUGUUUUCAUUAUUUGUCUGUUUCAAAUGUUAUGAUUGCCCAAAGUCAGCUGAUCAGUUAGAUUUCAUGGAAUAGAAUUUUGACAAAAACAACUUUAAAGAGAGGGGUUCUAAAUAGACUGGCUGGUUGAAUAAAGCACAUUUUAACACAUUCAAUUAAUGAAAAACAAGUAGAUAUGUUUAGGGAUGAUAGACAUGUUAUAGAAUAAUAAUUGAAUCAAAACCCAAUUUCACCAAAAUACUGAGUUUCGACCUACUAGUAUUUUCACUCUAAUCUCAAAAAUGUCCCUUUUCACCAUGUGACAGGUUUCCCCAGAGCCCAUCACAGUUUUGGGUUAUAGAAACAUCUGUUGGGAUGGCAGUAAAGACAGAAGGGCUAUGUACAGACAUUACAUGUGUACAAUACUGUACUGUAUGUAAAGAAGAUGAAAUCCUAAUAUUGUUACGAAUAAUAUUGUUGAAACAUUGAAACCUU